AUUCUGUUUGUUUUUUUCAAAUCCUGAGAACCUGUGCAAGUAAAGUGUAUUUUGGGACUGUACUGCCAAACUCAUUGAAAUUGUAGCAGGCCCAAUGUGGCCCAAAGGCUGCUGUUUGCUCACUCCUGGGUCUAGAAGAAAACAUACUAAACUGCUAACGUUUUUCUAUAGGAUACCACAAAGACCUCUCAACAUACAUUUGAAGGAAAGGAAGAAAUGGAGGGAGGAGAGAAGGCGGGAAGG